GCACCUGGCUGGCUCAGUCAGUAGAGCAUGAGACUCUUGACCUUUCGGUUGUAAGUUUGAGGCCUGUGUUGGGUAUAGAGAUUGCUUAAAAAUAAAAUCUUAACAAAAAGAAAAACAAAAAAGAACCCACUGGCAUUUGGCAACAGAUAAUAGAAAAAUCAGCUUCCUAAAGUUUAUUCAAAAGAAGUAUUUUUUUCUUGCAGAACAAAAAGUUCAGAGAAAGACAAGUUGCUGGCAUUGGCUCAACACAUCAAGAAUGUCAGGGUCCAGGUUUCUUGGACUUUUCCUCAUUGAUAAAACAUAGCUGCUACAUCUCCAGUCCUCUCAUCUGUGAUCCAGGGAGGAAGGCCAGGUACAGGAUGGGCAGGUACACUUUAGGACAGGUUUACGGGAAAAAUUAAAUGCACAGAGCACACUUACCCAAUUUGUGAAUCAUACGCAAAACAGAAAGCCACAUGGUGUGGAGAACCUCCAUGCCUGCCUUUUAGCAGAUGUUCUUGGGGAAUGCCAAUACAACCCAGGAUUCCUUGGAAAGUGAG